rnacentral:tRNA from 2 species
GGCCUCGUAGUUAAAUGGAUAGAAUUCAAGAUUCCGGUUCUUGAGGUGGGGGUUCGAAUCCCUCCGAGGUCA